AAGGCUGCAGUCAAGAAUUUUCCUCAAUGGACGAAAGUCUGAAGGAGCGACGCCGCGUGCAGGAAGAAACUCUUCGGGGUGUAAGCUGCUUUUUUAUGGGAAUAAGAUCUGAGUGUACCAUACGAAUAGGGACCUGCUAAACUCGUGCCAGCAGCAGCGGUAAUACGAGUGGUCCAAGCGUUGUCCGGUUUUAUUGGGCGUAAAGGGUCCGCAGGCGGUUCGAUAAGUCUGGUGUUAUAUUCUGGCGCUCAACGUCAGAGCCGCAUCGGAUACUAUCGAGCUAGAGGUCGGGAGAGGCAACUGGAAUUACCCGUGUAGCAGUAAAAUGCGUUAAUAUGGGUAGGAACACCAAAGGCGAAGGCAUGUUGCUAGAACGAAUCUGACGCUCAGGGACGAAAGCGUGGGGAGCGGAAGGGAUUAGAUACCCCUGUAGUCCACGCCCUAAACGAUGAAUGCUAGGCAUUGGAAGUAUCGACCCUUUCAGUGCCGUUUACACAAGUUAACACGUUAAGCAUUCCGCCUGGGAAGUACGGCCGCAAGGCUAAAACUUAAAGGAAUUGACGG
rnacentral:rRNA from 1 species